rnacentral:lncRNA from 1 species
GUCUGAGUGCUCCAGGAUCUGGCUGGCUGUGAGGUCCUCCUCCUCGGAUGAUUCAUCGGAGUCCUCAUGGUGCAUUUUAUUCAGGCUAGGAGUGCUUCCUGACAGUUGGCGCUCCUCCAGAAUCUGCAUAUCACACUUAUCCAGGCUGUCCAGAGAACGUCUGCGCACUCCCCAGUUGAAAUUGUCCAUACUCUCACCCUGAAGGACCGGAUCUGCUCAACUUGUUUUCCAG